AUUGAACGCUGGCGGCAGGCCUAACACAUGCAAGUCGAACGAGUGGCGGACGGGUGAGUAAUGCUUGGGAAUCUGGCUUAUGGAGGGGGAAAUCUUCGGGAAACUGUAGCUAAUACCGUGUACCCUAGGAUGAGCCCAAGUGGGAUUAGGUAGUUGGUGAGGUAAAGGCUCACCAAGGCGACGAUCUCUAGCUGGUCUGAGAGGAUGACCAGCCACACUGGGACUGAGACACGGCCCAGACUCCUACGGGAGGCAGCAGUGGGGAAUAUUGCGCAAUGGGGGCAACCUGACGCAGCCAUGCCGCGUGAAUGAAGAAGGCCUUCGGGUUGUAAAGUUCUUUCAGUAGCGAGGCGUUAACUACAGAAGAAGCACCGGCUAACUCCGUGCCAGCCGCCGCGGUAAUUC
rnacentral:rRNA from 1 species